AUGGCUGCACGUUUCUUCAUGGAUGGUAUGUGUAACUUUGUUACGCUAAAAGUUGGAUAUUCUACCUGUGGGAAGAAUAUGUUUGUUGACUGUGUUAUCAGUAGAUCUGACCACACAUGCACUACACCAGUAAUACACAACAUUACCUACACCCAGAGGUAAACACAUCUACUGAUAACACAGUCAACAAACAUAUUCUUCCCACAGGUAGAAUAUCCAACUUUUAGCGUAACAAAGUUACACAUACCCACCAUGAAGAAACGUGCAGCCAUCCUCACAAUAGGUAGAACACCUGACACUAAGUUAAGGUUCACGACACACUAGCUGCACCUGACAUCCUAGCUCAAUAGUAGUUGUAACACAUGCUAGGAAAACCCACAGCAGCCUUGUUUUGUUUUGUUCUUCUUUUACCUAUCCUUCUCCUUCCCCUCUUUCCUGAGUAGGUGAAACGCCUAGACACCCUGCGAUGGGUCGAAGGUCUGAUAUUAGGAUUGACUCGCAACACCUAAUAUCCGCCAGCCACUCUAAACUGAAUGGAAGCCAGAGAGCUCCAUGCAUGAUAGGUCAAUUCAUUGAAUUGAAAAUGAAAUUACUAGAAAACUAAUGGUAAACAUGUAAAGUAAGACAACCUAGAAGAACCAAACAAAGUUAACCACAAAUUUGAUUGAUGAAUCAAAAUAAAAACAAUUUCCAAGACGAUCUAAACUAUCCUCAAUGUGCUAAACUACAUUGACUAAUUGAACUUAACCACGUCUACCUAAAUAACCUGAUGCCUGCACCAGUACAGUAACUGUCAUGGAGGUGUUGUCUUGCUGUUUGCUGUGUUUGUAUGCUUCUUCUGCCUUUGUUUCUCCAGCGAUCGACGAUGUCUUCACCUAAACACCUCGCCGAUCGAAAGGGGGAUAUAUGUAGCAGAAAUGAGUCAAAUCAGACAAAUCAAAGAGUCUAUCAGAGCUGUGUGCAUUGAAACAUGAGCUGAAUUCCUCAGGAAGUCAUAAAUCAGUUCUAGUGCCACAAGAACCAAGCAAGAUAACCAACCAACCAACUUGUUCACACAACAGCUUUCAACAUUAACACCAAUAGAACAAUUAUUGACAAUUUUAAUUCGAAGAAGAGAUUGUCAAAUUUAUUGUUCGUGAUUGGAAUGCAACGCUGGACAUCACAUGUAAACCCAGGAGAUCAAGUUAAAUACUUGCAUUGACUUCCCCCCCCCCCAGCCAGUGAAACCAGACUGAAAUUCCUAAGGGGGAAGGGCUUUAAACCUUUGUCUUCACAGAAAAGUCCUUUGCCAGAGAAUGGCAAAGAAACCCUUUUUAUACAUUAUAUAUGGACCAGAAUGAAUUCAAAAAAGACUCAUGAAUGAAUCAUUCCAUUGCUUAACUCCAUAUUCAUUUACGUGUAACCCACACAUUUGACUAUCAUGUAUAAUCACUUAUUGUGUAUGUCUUUUGAUAACUAUAGGAUACCUAGUCAUGUCUAGUAUUGAAAUAAUCGCAUUUUCUUGCUUGAUAUUGUCCUGACAAUCAUUUAUUUGUAAAAUAUAUCAUAAUCAUGUUAUAGGAAUCAUGUCCAAAAUUAGACCCUGUGAGGCAAGAACCAC
rnacentral:lncRNA from 1 species